rnacentral:rRNA from 1 species
UACGUAGGGGGCAAGCGUUGUCCGGAAUUAUUGGGCGUAAAGAGCGUGUAGGCGGUCCGGUAAGUCAGCUGUGAAAGUCAAGGGCUCAACCCUUGAAAGCCGGUUGAUACUGUCGGGCUAGAGUCCGGAAGAGGCGAGUGGAAUUCCCGGUGUAGCGGUGAAAUGCGCAGAUAUCGGGAGGAACACCGGUGGCGAAGGCGGGUCUCUGGGCCGUAACUGACGCUGAGGAGCGAAAGCGUGGAGAGCGAACAGG